GAUGAACGCUGGCGGCGUGCCUAAUACAUGCAAGUCGAGCGAACGGACGAGAAGCUUGCUUCUCUGAUGUUAGCGGCGGACGGGUGAGUAACACGUGGAUAACCUACCUAUAAGACUGGGAUAACUUCGGGAAACCGGAGCUAAUACCGGAUAAUAUUUUGAACCGCAUGGUUCAAAAGUGAAAGACGGUCUUGCUGUCACUUAUAGAUGGAUCCGCGCUGCAUUAGCUAGUUGGUAAGGUAACGGCUUACCAAGGCAACGAUGCAUAGCCGACCUGAGAGGGUGAUCGGCCACACUGGAACUGAGACACGGUCCAGACCCCUACGGGAGGCAGCAGUAGGGAAUCUUCCGCAAUGGGCGAAAGCCUGACGGAGCAACGCCACGUGAGUGAUGAAGGUCUGCGGAUCGUAAAACUCUGUUAUUAGGGAAGAACAUAUGUGUAAGUAACUGUGCACAUCUGGACGGUACCUAAUCAGAAAGCCACGGCUAACUACGU
rnacentral:rRNA from 1 species